rnacentral:sRNA from 16 species
CUUCGCGGUCAGAAGGUAUCCUCCUCCCAACCUGAUGACCGCAUCUUCCGCGCUCCAUGCGUGGAACUCCAAAAGCGCCUGCCGGUACCUCCUCCCACCGGCGGGCGUUUUUU